AGGACGAACGCUGGCGGCGUGCUUAACACAUGCAAGUCGAGCGAGGUCCAUCCGGUGGCAACACCGGGGACGGCCUAGCGGCGAACGGGUGAGUAACACGUGAGCAACCUGUCCCGAAGACUGGGAUAACACCGGGAAACCGGUGCUAAUACCGGAUAUCCCCAUCUGGCCGCAUGACCGGAUGAGGAAAUGAAUUUCGCUUCGGGAGGGGCUCGCGGGCUAUCAGCUUGUUGGUGGGGUAACGGCCUACCAAGGCGACGACGGCUAGCUGGUCUGAGAGGACGACCAGCCACACUGGGACUGAGACACGGCCCAGACUCCUACGGGAGGCAGCAGUGGGGAAUCUUGCGCAAUGGGCGAAAGCCUGACGCAGCAACGCCGCGUGGGGGAUGAAUGCCUUCGGGUUGUAAACCCCUUUCAGCAGGGACGAAUCUGACGGUACCUGCAGAAGAGCCCGGCAACUACGUGCCAGCAGCCGC
rnacentral:rRNA from 1 species